AACGAACGCUGGCGGCAGGCCUAACACAUGCAAGUCGAACGAGAAGCCACCUUCGGGUGGUGGACAGUGGCGGACGGGUGAGUAACGCGUGGGAACGUGCCUUUCGGUUCGGAAUAACCCAGGGAAACUUGGGCUAAUACCGGAUACGCCCUUCGGGGGAAAGAUUCAUUGCCGAAAGAUCGGCCCGCGUCGGAUUAGCUAGUUGGUGGGGUAAUGGCCCACCAAGGCGACGAUCCGUAGCUGGUCUGAGAGGAUGACCAGCCACACUGGGACUGAGACACGGCCCAGACUCCUACGGGAGGCAGCAGUGGGGAAUAUUGGACAAUGGGCGAAAGCCUGAUCCAGCCAUGCCGCGUGGGUGAAGAAGGCCUUAGGGUUGUAAACCCCUUUCAGCGGGGAAGAUAAUGACGGUACCCGCGGAAGAAGUCCCGGCUAACUCCGUGCCAGCCGCCGCAGUAAGAC
rnacentral:rRNA from 1 species